UAGAGCACCACCUAAUGGUUAAAGAGUUUCCUCUUUUAUAUUUUUAUGGAAAAUUACUGGUCAUACAAAUAUUUGAAAGAGAGAAGAAAUGGAAUAAAAGAUUGUUAAUACAACAAAAACCCUGGAAGUAAAAUAUAAAGGAAUACAAUAUUUUGGGACUGCUGGAGGUUGACUGUGACAAGAAAACAGAAGAAAGAGAAAGUGAGAG